rnacentral:tRNA from 1 species
UCCUCUGUGGCGCAAUUGGCUAGCGUAUGUAUCAGCAACUAACAACUCACAGGAGGUUGGUGGUUCGAGCCCACCCGGAGGAG